UACGGAGGGUGCGAGCGUUGUCCGGAAUCACUGGGCGUAAAGGGCGCGUAGGCGGCGGAAGGAGUCCAUGGUGAAAGCUCGCGGCUCAACUGCGAGUCGGCCACGGAUACUCUUUCGCUCGAGCACUGUAGAGGCAGAUGGAAUUCCGGGUGUAGCGGUGGAAUGCGUAGAGAUCCGGAAGAACACCGGUGGCGAAGGCGGUCUGCUGGGCAGUAGCUGACGCUGAGGCGCGACAGCGUGGGGAGCAAACAGG
rnacentral:rRNA from 1 species